rnacentral:rRNA from 1 species
UACAGAGGGUGCAAGCGUUAAUCGGAAUUACUGGGCGUAAAGCGCACGUAGGUGGCUUGAUAAGUUGGGUGUGAAAUCCCCGGGCUUAACCUGGGAAUUGCAUUCAAGACUGUCUUGCUAGAGUGUGGAAGAGGGAAGCGGAAUUCCAGGUGUAGCGGUGAAAUGCGUAGAGAUGUGGAGGAACACCGAUGGCGAAGGCAGCCUUCUGGGCUAAUAUUGACGCUCAGGCACGAAAGCGUGGGGAGCAAACAGG